rnacentral:rRNA from 1 species
GAUGAACGCUGGCGGCGUGCUUAACACAUGCAAGUCGAACGAAGCACUUUAUUUGAUUUCCUUCGGGACUGAUUAUUUUGUGACUGAGUGGCGGACGGGUGAGUAACGCGUGGGUAACCUGCCUUGUACAGGGGGAUAACAGUUGGAAACGGCUGCUAAUACCGCAUAAGCGCACAGCAUCGCAUGAUGCAGUGUGAAAAACUCCGGUGGUAUAAGAUGGACCCGCGUUGGAUUAGCUAGUUGGUGAGGUAACGGCCCACCAAGGCGACGAUCCAUAGCCGACCUGAGAGGGUGACCGGCCACAUUGGGACUGAGACACGGCCCAAACUCCUACGGGAGACAGCAGUGGGGAAUAUUGCACAAUGGGCGAAAGCCUGAUGCAGCGACGCCGCGUGAGCGAAGAAGUAUUUCGGUAUGUAAAGCUCUAUCAGCAGGGAAGAUAAUGACGGUACCUGACUAAGAAGCACCGGCUAAAUACGUG